rnacentral:rRNA from 1 species
GACGUAGGGCGCGAGCGUUGUCCGGAAUUAUUGGGCGUAAAGAGCUCGUAGGCGGUCUGUCGCGUCGAUCGUGAAAACUUGGGGCUUAACCCUGAGCUUGCGGUCGAUACGGGCAUGACUGGAGUUCGGCAGGGGAGACUGGAAUCCCUGGUGUAGCGGUGAAAUGCGCAGAUAUCAGGAGGAACACCGGUGGCGAAGGCGGGUCUCUGGGCCGAUACUGACGCUGAGGAGCGAAAGCGUGGGGAGCGAACAGG